UGGAUUUCUUUAUGUUAUGGGUAAUUAUAGGUAUUACAUCUACAAAUGGCAGGAUGUGUAUCGGUAAUCAUAUGUGGGAUGUGGCUACGGAGAGAAGGGAUAAGAAGCUGGUCGAGAAAUUGUAUGAUGAGAAGAACUAGUUCAGGUUGCUUUGGCCAUGGUAUUGUGAUUUCAAGCAAGG